rfam:Ovis aries breed Texel chromosome 9, whole genome shotgun sequence.
UCCUUGGUGGCUCAGAUGGUAAAAGCAUCUGCCUGCAAUGUGGGAGAUCCAGGUUUGAUCCCUGGGUCAGGAA